GAGUCACCGAGUAUCCUUUUUCUAGUCUGCCUCAUGAUACAAUGCCACGGGUCCAGUCAUUUCCAUUACCUACAGAAAGGAGAGGAGGAUAUACUGUCCUGUGGAACAUGUCAAUGGGAGGCUGAUGUGGACUCAGACAACAUAGUGGACUGCAGCUUAUCAAAGACCAGGAACUAUUCAACUAGACCAAAAUGUCCAGCUGCACCAAACCAAUGCAAUGAGAUAAAGAGAAACACAUCCAGAAUUGUGACAUCAGUGUAAAGAGGGGAUUCUUUGCUUGUGUUAAUGACUCUACAUAUGACUCCUGCUACAUUCAUCCAUUCAAACUCUCUGCUCAUCAUGUGGAGUCCUUCUUUGUUGCUCAGGAAGAACCAGACUUGGUGUCCGAACCCGUAAUGGAAAGCUCAGUGCAUGUGUCUGCAGGAGGAUCAAUUACUCUGACGUGCAUCUUUAAAACAAAGGGAAUUCCAAUCAGCCUUUUGUGGUGUACUGGAUUAAGACUGGUGUUAAUAGCAGCACAUGUGUGUACUCAUAUCAUUUUACUUCAUAUGCUGAUGCUGGUGGUUUUGAUGAACACUGUUCCAUUGACAAAGAUCUGCUGAGGAGAUCAAACACAUCCCACCCUUCUCUCACUGAUACCAACACCCAUAACCUGACGAUCAGUAAUGCCACUCACUCAGACAGUGGACAGUAUGUGUGUGCCUACAAGUGGACAAAAACGACCAGCAGCACUGGAGAGUAAUCACCAACACUACAGUCACUGUGGGUGAUACAGUCAAACCUGGGCCUGAUACGCAGAUUGCAGACGCAGAACAUUCUGAUAUAUACGUGAAUACCAGUGCAGGAGCUCAGAGAGAGGAUGAGCUCUAGUUGACUCAGAAGCCAUCACGACUCGUCACAAACCCACAUUUAGUGUUUGG